AUUGAACGCUGGCGGCAUGCUUUACACAUGCAAGUCGAACGGUAACAGGCCUUCGGGUGCUGACGAGUGGCGAACGGGUGAGUAAUGCAUCGGAACGUGCCCAGAGGUGGGGGAUAACGCAGCGAAAGCUGUGCUAAUACCGCAUGUGAUCUGAGGAUGAAAGCGGGGGACCAAGCAGCAAUGUUUGGCCUCGCGCCUCUGGAGCGGCCGAUGUCAGAUUAGGUAGUUGGUGGGGUAAAGGCCUACCAAGCCGACGAUCUGUAGCUGGUCUGAGAGGACGACCAGCCACACUGGGACUGAGACACGGCCCAGACUCCUACGGGAGGCAGCAGUGGGGAAUUUUGGACAAUGGGCGCAAGCCUGAUCCAGCAAUGCCGCGUGCGGGAAGAAGGCCUUCGGGUUGUAAACCGCUUUUGUACGGAACGAAAAGGCUCUGGCUAAUACCUGGGGCUGAUGACGGUACCGUAAGAAUAAACACCGGCUAACUACGU
rnacentral:rRNA from 1 species